rnacentral:ncRNA from 2 species
GAUAGCGCUGGAGAGGAUGGUUCCUGCGAGACACAAACUGUGUGUCCAGGAUGAAAAGGGAACGCGGUGCGGCUGGUACUGAUCAGCCAAUUCCGCGACUGCCCCCGCAACUGUAAGCGGUGAGCGGACCGGGUGAACCACUGGCAUGGAGUUUUGCGCUCCAGGUUGGGAAGGACCGGUUUCGCAGCGACCCGCAAGUCAGGAGACCUGCCAUCAUAUGAAAACUCGA